AUUGAACGCUGGCGGCAGGCCUAACACAUGCAAGUCGAACGGUAACAGGAAGCAGCUUGCUGCUUCGCUGACGAGUGGCGGACGGGUGAGUAAUGUCUGGGAAGCUGCCUGAUGGAGGGGGAUAACUACUGGAAACGGUAGCUAAUACCGCAUAAUGUCGCAAGACCAAAGAGGGGGACCUUCGGGCCUCUUGCCAUCGGAUGUGCCCAGAUGGGAUUAGCUUGUUGGUGGGGUAACGGCUCACCAAGGCGACGAUCCCUAGCUGGUCUGAGAGGAUGACCAGCCACACUGGGACUGAGACACGGUCCAGACUCCUACGGGAGGCAGCAGUGGGGAAUAUUGCACAAAGGGCGCAAGCCGGAUGCAGCCAUGCCGCGUGUAUGAAGAAGGCCUUCGGGUUGUAAAGUACUUUCAGCGGGGAGGAAGGGAGUAAAGUUAAUACCUUUGCUCAUUGACGUUACCCGCAAAAGAAGCACCGGCUAACUCCGUG
rnacentral:rRNA from 1 species